AAUAUGUAAAUUAGUUAUACACAAUGUUAAUUAUUCCAUGUGAGGAACCUCGUUUGUAAUAAAUUUGUCUUAUUUCUCAUUUUUCUUUUCCUAUAGUUAUUUGAUAUUAUAACAGAUCUUUUAUAGUCUCGAUCUCUUAACGUUGAACUUUUCUAAAUUCUGGUAAUUUUGUGCUUUGCACAUUGCAUGAGUUAUUGUCUAAUUCUGAACACGGAAUGUUGACCUCUCGAUUUAUACUAUCAUAAUAUUCUAUUUAUUCAUUAUCAAUAUUAUCAAUGAUCCUACAAGAUUUUUUACUGCCCACUGCGAAUCAUCUUUACUGUAAAUGGCAUUUUCGGUGGAAGAAAAUAAGGGUUGUUUGAAUGCAAAGUGAAUCCGUUUAUAGAUCCUUCUUUGAUUAUUUCCUGGCAGAUGAUUGGUUAACAGGAUUGCUAUAAAAGUACCAGAAAUGAGAGUGGGUGGGCUGAUACAAAGAUAUUUGCGAGUAUAAAAGGAAUUCACAGCAAGUAUUCUCUCGAUCAGACAAAGCAUGCACAAGAGAGGUUCCGAGAAAACAAUAUUCGCCUACAGACAGACAAGAGAUAAACAAGAUGGCAGAAAUGGAUAUUGUGUCGUUACUAAAAACUUCAGAACUGCAGGAAUUGACGAAGUAUCUUCAAUGUUGGUGACAUAUUUGAUACUACAUCAUAAAAGGGUUAUUAGUCGAAUAUGGUACCGACUAUGUGCUAAUACUUUGUCAGAACUAUAGAUUUAUUCAUUUAAAUGAAAAUAUUGAGAAAUUAAAUGCAUGUUUAUAUCUAUGUUCGAAAUUUUUAGUGACAAUCCAUAUUGUUUGAAGAAACACAUUUUAGACACCGGAGCAUCAAAAAAGUAUAGGAAACAGUAUUUGUUUAAUCAAAACAAUUGUCCAUGCGGUACUUUAUUUUUACCGCGAAACAUAAAACUCAUAAUUGUUUAUCCUCUCGAUUGAAAAAAAGACAUAACUUUUGGAUGGUUAAAGUAAAUCUACCAAAUUGAAGUUAGAAUAUACACUUUGCUCAUUAAAAUUAUGUAGAACUUUAUAAUCACUUUGAUAAGCAGUACUUUAUUUUUCUCUCUGUUUUGUCUAAGGGAAAUCUAGAAAAUUAUAUGAAAACAAUAAUGUGAUUAAAGAAGACCUUUUUGUUAAAUAAACUGAAUGUGACUUUUUUCCUUUGUAA